CGAAAGAGAGCCGUAACACAGGUGCUGCAUGGCUGUCGUCAGCUCGUGUCGUGAGAUGUUGGGUUAAGUCCCGCAACGAGCGCAACCCUUGUCAUUAGUUGCUACAUUCAGUUGGGCACUCUAAUGAGACUGCCGGUGACAAGCCGGAGGAAGGUGGGGAUGACGUCAAGUCCUCAUGGCCCUUAUAGGUGGGGCUACACACGUCAUACAAUGGCUGGUACAAAGGGUUGCCAACCCGCGAGGGGGAGCUAAUCCCAUAAAGCCAGUCGUAGUCCGGAUCGUAGUCUGCAACUCGACUACGUGAAGUCGGAAUCGCUAGUAAUCGUGGAUCAGAAUGUCACGGUGAAUACGUUCCCGGGUCUU
rnacentral:rRNA from 1 species